rnacentral:rRNA from 1 species
AGGGCGUAUGGGGAAUGCCUAGGCACACUCCGGCGAAGAAGGACGCAGCAAACAGCGAAAUGCGACGGUGAGCGGUAAGCACGUGAAGAGCCGUCGAUAUCCGAAUGGGGGAACCCACACGGAGUCAUAUCCGUGUAUCACAUGUCGAAUACAUAGACAUGAUGAGGCGAGACGCAGGGAACUGAAACAUCUAAGUACCUGCAGGAAGAGAAAAUAAGAAUGAUUUUCUGAGUAGCGGCGAGCGAAAGGGAAAGAGCCCAAACCGAUCUGAGGAUCGGGGUAGUAGGAUCAUCGAUAAAUCAAACAGAGGAUCAUAGAGGAAUCACAUGGGAAGGUGAGCGAGAGAGGGUGAGAGCCCCGUACUCGAAAUGAGAGACUGGAGAGAGAUGACACCUGAGUAGGGCGGGACACGAGAAAUCCUGUCUGAAUCAGCCGGGACCAUCCGGCAAGGCUAAAUACGAGAGAGUGACCGAUAGUGAACCAGUACCGUGAGGGAAAGGUGAAAAGAACCCCGGGAGGGGAGUGAAAGAGAACCUGAAACCAUAUGCCUACAAGAAGUCAGAGCCCGUUAAAGGGUGAUGGCGUGCCUUUUGUAGAAUGAACCGGCGAGUUACUGUAUGGAGCGAGGUUAAGCAGGAUAUGCGGAGCCGAAGCGAAAGCGAGUCUUAAGAGGGCGCGAGUUGCAUGCAGUAGACCCGAAACCGGGUGAUCUAGCCAUGACCAGGUUGAAGUUGGGGUAAAACCCGAUGGAGGACCGAACCGACCCCCGUUGAAACGUUGGCGGAUGAGUUGUGGCUAGGGGGGAAAUUCCAAUCGAACCCGGAGAUAGCUGGUUCUCCCCGAAAUAGCUUUAGGGCUAGCGUCGAGAGAAGAGUUGCGUGAAGGUAGAGCACUGAAUAUGUGAUGGCCCCAUCUCGGGGUACUGAGCAUAAUCAAACUGCGAAUGUCACGCCAACAUGCUCGGCAGUCAGACAGCGGGUGAUAAGGUCCGUUGUCAAGAGGGAAACAGCCCAGACCAUCAGCUAAGGUCCCAAAAUGUAUGCUAAGUGGAAAAGGAUGUGGAGAUGUACAGACAACUAGGAGGUUGGCUCAGAAGCAGCCAUCCUUUAAAGAGUGCGUAACAGCUCACUAGUCGAAUGACUCUGCGCCGAUAAUUUACCGGGGCUAAGCAUACUACCGAAGCUAUGGAUCCCAAGGGAUGGUAGGGGAGCGUUCCAUGAACGGAGAAGUACGACCGAAAGGACGUGUGGAGAUCAUGGAAGAGAGAAUGCCGGUGUGAGUAGCGGAACGUGGGUGAGAAUCCCACGCACCGAAAACCCAAGGUUUCCAGAGGAAGGUUCGUCCGCUCUGGGUAAGUCGGGACCUAAGGCGAGGCCGAAAGGCGUAGUCGAUGGACAACAGGUAGAGAUUCCUGUACCCGUAUAUAUGUGAAGGAAUGACGGAGAGAGGAAGCUGCAGCCAGCGGCUGGAAGAGCUGGUGCAAGCGAGAUAUCGGGAUGGCAGGCAAAUCCACCAUCCGAAACGAGAAGGCGUGAAGCGUACGGAAAGCUACGGCGAGUACGGAAGGCAGUGGAGGAACUUCCAAGAAAAGUUUCUAACGUUAAGUAUAUAUGGCCCGUACCGAAAAUGGACACACAUGGGUGAGGAGAGAAUCCUAAGGUGAGCGAGAGAACUAUAGCUAAGGAACUCUGCAAAAUGACUCCGUAACUUAGGGAGAAGGAGUGCUCAUAGAGAUAUGAGCCGCAGUGAAACGGCCCAAGCGACUGUUUACCAAAAACACAGCUCUCUGCUAAGCCGCAAGGCGAAGUAUAGGGGGUGACGCCUGCCCGGUGCUGGAAGGUUAAGGGGAGGGGUUAACGCAAGUGAAGCCCUGAACUGAAGCCCCAGUAAACGGCGGCCGUAACUAUAACGGUCCUAAGGUAGCGAAAUUCCUUGUCAGGUAAGUUCUGACCCGCACGAAAGGCGUAACGAUUUGGGCGCUGUCUCAGCUGUAGACUCGGUGAAGUCUUAGUACCUGUGAAGAUGCAGGUUACCCGCGACUAGACGGAAAGACCCCAUGGAGCUUCACUGCAGGUUGAUAUUGGGAUUUGAUGCAGCAUGUACAGGAUAGGUAGGAGGCAAAGAGAUGGAUACGCCAGUAUUCAAGGAGCCGCUGUUGGGAUACUACCCCUGUUGUAUUGGAUUUCUAACCGGACGACGUAGAGCCGUUGACGGGACAGUGUCAGUCGGGCAGUUUGACUGGGGCGGUCGCCUCCCAAAGAGUAACGGAGGCGCCCAAAGAUACCCUCAGCUUGGAUGGAAACCAAGCGCAGAGUGCAAAGGCAAAAGGGUGUUUGACUGCGAGACCCACAAGUCGAGCAGGGACGAAAGUCGGGCUUAGUGAUCCGGCGGUGCUGAAUGGAAAGGCCGUCGCUCAACGGAUAAAAGCUACCCUGGGGAUAACAGGCUGAUCUCCCCCAA